rnacentral:rRNA from 1 species
CAGCAGCCACGGUAAUACGGAGGGAGCUAGCGUUGUUCGGAAUUACUGGGCGUAAAGCGCACGUAGGCGGUUAUUCAAGUCAGAGGUGAAAGCCCGGGGCUCAACCCCGGAACUGCCUUUGAAACUAGAUGACUAGAAUCUUGGAGAGGUCAGUGGAAUUCCGAGUGUAGAGGUGAAAUUCGUAGAUAUUCUGAAGAACACCAGUGGCGAAGGCGACCGACUGGACAAGUAUUGACGCUGAGGUGCGAAAGCGUGGGGAGCUAACAGGAUUAGAUACCCGAGUAGUCCCUGUCUCUUAUAC